UACGUAGGGGGCAAGCGUUGUCCGGAUUUAUUGGGCGUAAAGAGCGUGUAGGCGGCCAGACAGGUCCGUUGUGAAAACUCGAGGCUCAACCUCGAGAUGUCGAUGGAAACCGUCUGGCUAGAGUCCGGAAGAGGAGUGUGGAAUUCCUGGUGUAGCGGUGAAAUGCGUAGAUAUCGGGAGGAACACCAGUGGCGAAGGCGGCUGUCUGGGCCAGUUCUGACGCUGAGGCGCGAAAGCGUGGGGAGCAAACAGG
rnacentral:rRNA from 1 species